rnacentral:rRNA from 1 species
AUGACGUCAAGUCCUCAUGGCCUUUAUGCCCAGGGCUACACACGUGCUACAAUGGGUGGUACAAAGAGAUGCAAUCUCGCAAGAGCAAGCAAACCUCAAAAAGCCAUCCUCAGUUCGGAUUGGAGUCUGCAGCUCGACUCCAUGAAGUCGGAAUCGCUAGUAAUCGCGGAUCAGCACGCCGCGGUGAAUACGUUCCCGGGCCUU